GGGACUUCUUUUCGGACGAUCUGUGAGAGCAAAGCAGACAAGAUGUAGGCAGGGGACUGAUAGUUCUGGUGGCGGAAUCCACCACUGGAAGAUUUCGAACAUAGAAUAGUUGAUGAAUUUAGGAUGAUAGAGUCCGUGCCCAGCGAUUGUGUGAUCUGUUGAUUCUAAACUAAGAUUGUCGGGUGUAUUCCAUUCUGCAACGAUUCAACUGAGCGCCAGUGAAAGAAUUCUACUUCCUGAUGUAAAGAUGAUUGUCGCUUGCAAAACACGGAAAGUCUGAAUUCAUGGUGAAACUCUAGAGGUGAUGAAGAACAACAUAUAAGGAGUGUCCGGCCACACUUUCUGGUGAGUCUCAACUUCCCAGAUUUAGUCUGAUACAUUGUAAGCAUCCAGAGAGUAAAGGCAGACUAGAGUGAAGUCCUAUGCGAAUAAAACACGACUUGGUGGGUCCUUCCGACUGAAGAGCAGCUCUCCUGUGUAAAGCCAUCCCAGCGGCAAUUCAGUGCAGCGCA
rnacentral:lncRNA from 1 species